rnacentral:tRNA from 1 species
GGGGAAGUGUCGGAAUUGGUAGACGAGCAUGAUUUAGGAUCAUGUGGACGAAGGUCCGUGAGAGUUCGAGUCUCUCCUUCCCCA